AGAACAGCCCUAAACACUUCAUUUUAAUCUUCUGGAAAUGGUUGGCUUUGUCUUCAAAACAUCUUUGGUUUCUCUCUUCCCAAAUUGUCCUCCAAAUGCAAGCUGGAAUAAUCUUCCAUCUCAUUUUCUGAAUUUCAUUACUGCCUUUUCUGUUCCAUCAUGCUAGCACAUCAACUAUCUUACUUGGCUCCAGAGAAUCCCCACUAUAAUUGAGGAACAUCCUCCAUAGUUGUUCAGUCAGUUUACAGUGCAAGAACAGAUGAUUAAUUGUUUCAGGUCCCUCACCACAUAGAAAACAACUGGAACAUAGAUGAUGACCUCUCUUACAAAGAUUGUCCGGUGUGAGUGCUUUUCCUCUAGCUAGUAGCCACGUAAAACAAGAUACUCUAUAGGGAACUUUGACUUUCCAUAUCAUCUUCCAAGGCCAACACCCGAUCUGAUUGUUGAAAAGGUUGAGUUCUUUGUAGGCUGAUCUGACUGAGAAUUUUCCUUGAUUAUUUGCUUGCCACUUGAUGCUAUCCUCAGAAGUUGUGAUUCCUGUGAAUAGCUCCAGAGUUUUGAGGAAUUCUGUCAGCCUAUCUAUUUCCCAAUCAUUCAAGCAUCUUCUAAAGAUCAAAUUCCAUCCUUGGCUGCUCCAUAUCUCCCCAAUUGUUGCAUGUUGCUGCUGAGAUAAAAUAUGCAGAUCUGGAAAGAGUUGUUUUAGAGCUCCUUGACUUAGCCAUUUAUCCUCCCAAAAAGAUAUCUUCAUGCCAUUUCCAACUUUAAAGCUUACCUUGUUCAUGAGUUUAGGCCACAGGCUCCUCAUUGACUUACACAGACUAACCCCAUAAGGACCCUCCACAGUCUUGGUUGUCCAUUUACCUUCUAUGUCAUACUUUUCUUUGAUCACCUCUUUCCAUAAAGAUUCUUCAUCACUAGCAAAUCUCCAUAACCAUUUCACCAUCAAACUUUGAUUCUGGGAUUUCAAACUUUUUAUGCCCAAUCCCCCUUCCUUUUUGCUGACUAUGAUAUAUCUCCAUUUAGCCAGGUGAUACUUCUUUUUGUCACUGUUUCCUUCCCACAAGAAAUUCCUUCUCAAAAUAUCUAUCCUGCUCAAAACAUUCCCCGGGAUUGGAAAUAAUGACAUCAUAUAUUCUACCACCCGUUGAAAGUUACUGACUUUUCCAGCUUGUUAGUUUCUUUUCAAUUUUCUCCAGGACCCCAUUCCAUAUUCCUACUGACUUGCUUUUGGCCCUCAAAGGCAUCCCUAGAUAUAUUGUUGGUAAUUCACCUAUUUUACCUCCAAGAAUAUCAGCCAAAAAUUGGAUCUGGUUUACCUCAUUAACUGGAUAAAUAAAGCUUUUGGUCCAGUUAAUAUGUAAACCAGAUGUAGCUUCAAACAAAAUAAAAUUACUCUUAACAGUCACUUGUUCAGAAUUGGCGUCACAUAAUACAACAGUAUCAUCAGCAUAUUGUAAAUGUGAAAUCUCUCACUCACUGUCAGCACUAGAUUUCACCUUGAAACCCCUUAUCCAGUGGUUUGCCUGAGCUUUCUUCAGCAAGUCAUGGAACCCUCCAUAGCAAUGAUAAUAAGGAAAGGAGAUAGUGGAUCUCCUUAUCUCAAGGAAAGGAGAAGAGUCAUAUAGAGAUACCUUUCCCCCUUGCUUGCUUCUGAUUUUUCUUUUUCUUUUUGAUAAGAUACAGUAAUUAUAUUAACAAUAGCAGUGCCUAGGGGUAGUGCAGAAGUAAAAAUAGAAGCUUGAUGCAACUUCCACACCAUAUCUUUUGACUGUAAUUUCUAUUUUAAGCUUCAGUAUCAGCAACUCUUCAUAAAAGGGUAGUUGCAUCUUUAAUUAUCUGUUCAAAUUUGUUUUGUCCUUUUUAUAUUC